rnacentral:rRNA from 1 species
UACGAAGGGGGCUAGCGUUGCUCGGAAUGACUGGGCGUAAAGGGCGCGUAGGCGGUUUGGUUCGUUAGGCGUGAAAUUCCUGGGCUCAACCUGGGGACUGCGUUUAAUACAGCCAGAUUUGAGUGUGGAAGAGGGUCGUGGAAUUCCCAGUGUAGAGGUGAAAUUCGUAGAUAUGGGGAGGAACACCGGUGGCGAAGGCGGCCACCUGGACGGUCACUGACGCUGAGACGCGAAAGCGUGGGGAGCAAACAGG